rnacentral:rRNA from 1 species
UACGGGGGGGGCAAGCGUUGCUCGGAAUUGCUGGGCGUAAAGCGCACGUAGGCGGAUUGUUAAGUCGGGGGUGAAAUCCUGGAGCUCAACUCCAGAACUGCCUUCGAUACUGGCGAUCUCGAGUUCGGGAGAGGUGAGUGGAACUGCGAGUGUAGAGGUGAAAUUCGUAGAUAUUCGCAAGAACACCAGUGGCGAAGGCGGCUCACUGGCUCGAUACUGACGCUGAGGUGCGAAAGCGUGGGGAGCAAACAGG